CUUCGGUGAGUUCGCAUGGUUACGAGAUC
rnacentral:rRNA from 1 species